UUGUUAGAGAAGAACAAGGAUGAGAGUAAAAUGUUCAUCCCUUGACGGUAUCUAACCAGAAAGCCACGGCUAACUACGUGCCAGCAGCCGCGGUAAUACGUAGGUGGCAAGCGUUGUCCGGAUUUAUUGGGCGUAAAGCGAGCGCAGGCGGUUUCUUAAGUCUGAUGUGAAAGCCCCCGGCUCAACCGGGGAGGGUCAUUGGAAACUGGGAGACUUGAGUGCAGAAGAGGAGAGUGGAAUUCCAUGUGUAGCGGUGAAAUGCGUAGAUAUAUGGAGGAACACCAGUGGCGAAGGCGGCUCUCUGGUCUGUAACUGACGCUGAGGCUCGAAAGCGUGGGGAGCGAACAGGAUUAGAUACCCUGGUAGUCCACGCCGUAAACGAUGAGUGCUAAGUGUUGGAGGGUUUCCGCCCUUCAGUGCUGCAGCAAACGCAUUAAGCACUCCGCCUGGGGAGUACGACCGCAAGGUUGAAACUCAAAGGAAUUGACGGGGGCCCGCACAAGCGGUGGAGCAUGUGGUUUAAUUCGAAGCAACGCGAAGAACCUUACCAGGUCUUGACAUCCUUUGACCACUCUAGAGAUAGAGCUUCCCCUUCGGGGGCAAAGUGACAGGUGGUGCAUGGUUGUCGUCAGCUCGUGUCGUGAGAUGUUGGGUUAAGUCCCGCAACGAGCGCAACCCUUAUUGUUAGUUGCCAUCAUUUAGUUGGGCACUCUAGCGAGACUGCCGGUGACAAACCGGAGGAAGGUGGGGAUGACGUCAAAUCAUCAUGCCCCUUAUGACCUGGGCUACACACGUGCUACAAUGGGAAGUACAACGAGUUGCGAAGUCGCGAGGCUAAGCUAAUCUCUUAAAGCUUCUCUCAGUUCGGAUUGUAGGCUGCAACUCGCCUACAUGAAGCCGGAAUCGCUAGUAAUCGCGGAUCAGCACGCCGCGGUGAAUACGUUCCCGGGCCUUGUACACACCGCCCGUCACACCACGAGAGUUUGUAACACCCGAAGUCGGUGA
rnacentral:rRNA from 1 species